UAAAAGACUCCAGCUCUCUCGGGCCC
rnacentral:piRNA from 1 species